rnacentral:rRNA from 1 species
GAUUAAGCCAUGCAUGUCUCAGUGCAAGCCGCAUUAAGGUGAAACCGCGAAAGGCUCAUUAAAUCAGCUAUAAUUUAAUUGAUGGUACAAUCACGGUUACUUGGAUAACUGUGGCAAUUCUAGAGCUAAUACAUGCAAAAUGAGUUCCGACCGCGUUUCCGCGAGGGGACGCGGAACGAAUGCUUUUAUUAGAACAAAACCAAUCGGAUCUUCCGUCGCGUCCGGUUAAUCCCGGCUCCGCACGGAAAUCAUCCGCAAACUCUUGACGACUCUGAAUAACUUUAAGCUGAUCGCACGGUCACGCACCGGCGACGCAUCUUUCAAAUGUCUGACUUAUCAACUUUCGAUGGUAGGCUACGCGCCUACCAUGGUGAUAACGGGUGACGGGGAAUCAGGGUUCGAUUCCGGAGAGGGAGCCUGAGAAACGGCUACCACAUCCAAGGAAGGCAGCAGGCGCGCAAAUUACCCACUCCCGGCACGGGGAGGUAGUGACGAAAAAUAACGAUGCAGGACUCUUUCCGAGGCUCUGCAAUCGGAAUGAGCACACUCUAAAUCAUUUAACGAGUAUCCAUUGGAGGGCAAGUCUGGUGCCAGCAGCCGCGGUAAUUCCAGCUCCAAUAGCGUAUAUUAAAGUUGCUGCGGAUAAAAAGCUCGUAGUUUGAUUUGUGUUCCGAGCAGUCGGUACGCCGUUCGUCGGCGCCUAACUGACUCGCGGCGGAACGUCCUGCCGGUUGACGGAGCGGGGUGCGAAGUCAGAGCGCGGCUCCGGUCGUUUGUUCGUUCGCAUUGUUCCGCGCGUCGCGGGUUCGGGUCUCGUCUCGUUCUCGCUCGCGUCGGACGUCUGCGUCCGUCAGUCUCACGAAUCCCGUCGCGGUGCUCUUAACCGAGUGACGCGCCGGGCCGGCACGUUUACUUUGAACAAAACUGAGUGCUUAAAGCAGGCCAAACCCAGCCGCCGGAAAGUCCAAUGCAUGGAAUAAUGGAAUAGGGCCACGGUUCUAUUUUGUUGGUUUUCGGAAUUUCCGAGGCAAUGAUUAAUGGGGACAGGCGGGGGCAUUAGUAUUGCGGCGUUAGAGGUGAAAUUCUUGGAUCGUCGCAAGACUAACCUAAGCGAAAGCAUUUGCCAAGGAUGUUUUCUUUAAUCAAGAACGAAAGUUGGAGGUUCGAAGGCGAUCAGAUACCGCCCUAGUUCUUACCGUAAACUAUGCCGGCUAGCGAUCCGUCGAUGUUCGUUUAGAUGAUUCAGCGGGCAGCUUGAGGGAAACCAAAGCCUUCGGGUUCCGGGGGAAGUAUGGUUGCAAAGCUGAAACUUAAAGGAAUUGACGGAAGGGCACCACCAGGAGUGGAGCUUGCGGCUUAAUUUGACUCAACACGGGAAACCUCACCAGGCCCGGGCACCGGAAGGAUUGACAGAUCAAGAGCUCUUUCUUGAUUCGGUGGGUGGUGGUGCAUGGCCGUUCUUAGUUGGUGGAGCGAUUUGUCUGGUUAAUUCCGAUAACGAACGAGACUCUAGCCUGUUAACUAGGCGACGAUUCACCGUGCGUGAAUUUUCCGGCAUGGAAUGAUUUUUUUCAAACACUGCCGGCGACUUGAUUUCUUCUUAGAGGGACAAGCGGCUUCUAGCCGCACGAGAUUGAGCAAUAACAGGUCUGUGAUGCCCUUAGAUGUUCUGGGCCGCACGCGUGCUACACUGAAGGAAUCAACGUGUCCGAGAGUCCUAGGCCGAGAGGUCCGGGCAACCCGUUGAAUUUCCUUCGUGAUAGGGAUCGGGGCUUGCAAUUGUUUCCCGUGAACUAGGAAUUCCCAGUAAGCGCGAGUCAUAAGCUCGCGUUGAUUACGUCCCUGCCCUUUGUACACACCGCCCGUCGCUACUACCGAUCGAACGAUUUAGUGAGGUCUUUGGACUCGUACGCGGGGGACGUCCAUCGCGGCGACUUCUCGCAGCUGCGAGGAAGACGACCAACUUAAUCGUUUA